rnacentral:rRNA from 1 species
UACGGAGGGGGCUAGCGUUGUUCGGAAUCACUGGGCGUAAAGGGCGCGUAGGCGGCCUGGUAAGUAGGGGGUGAAAUCCUGCGGCUUAACCGCAGGGCUGCCUUCUAAACUGUCAGGCUUGAGCACGGUAGAGGCAGAUGGAAUUCCCGGUGUAGCGGUGGAAUGCGUAGAGAUCGGGAAGAACAUCAGUGGCGAAGGCGGUCUGCUGGGCCGUUGCUGACGCUGAGGCGCGACAGCGUGGGGAGCAAACAGG